ACGGUUCAGCUUCCCGACG
rnacentral:snRNA from 1 species